AUCAUUUCUCGGCGCUGCACUGAGUGACUGCGUGUUCCCGCCCCAGUGGAUACGAACGGGGAGAACUACUUUGGCACAACACCUGACUUCUCUACGCUCUUCUACUGAUUCCAAGAUUGUCCCAACUUCAUUGGGAUUGGGGUUGUACAUGGACAUAGCUUCACUUUGUGAACUAGGAGAUAUUAAUGGUCCAGUCCACGCCAAAGGACCGUGUGCUGCCCCACGGAAAAUGGCACGUUAAGGGGGAACUAAUAACUGCACACUGUGAAACGGCGGACAUGGGUCCUGGUCUUGAAUCAUCAGGCAAACAUGCAGCCAUUGUUGGUGAUUAAAGAAGAAAGUCUCCCUGAACACCAGGAAUGGAAUCUGAGUGUUGAUCAGGAGGACAUUGAAGAAGAUGAGAAGCUGUGGAUUAGUCAGCAGGGCAUGCACCUUCACCAGCUGGAGGAUGCAGAUCUCACCAAGUUUGGUUUCACUGCCGAUCCUGUGAAGAGUGAAAAUGAUGAUGAAAAACCAGAGUCAUCACAGCUACAUCAAAGCCGAAGUGA